rnacentral:rRNA from 1 species
CUUUACUGUAGCUUUGUAUUGGACUUUGAACAGAUCUGUGUAGGAUAGGUGGGAGGCUUUGAAGCAGGGUCGCUAGAUCUUGUGGAGCCAACGUUGAAAUACCACCCUGGUGAGUUUGAAGUUCUAACCUAGGUCCAUCAUCUGGAUUGGGGACAGUGCAUGGUAGGCAGUUUGACUGGAGCGGUCUCCUCCCAAAGUGUAACGGAGGAGUUCGAAGGUACGCUAGGUACGGUCGGACAUCGUGCUAAUAGCGCAAUGGCAUAAGCGUGCUUAACUGCGAGACUGACAAGUCGAGCAGAUGCGAAAGCAGGACAUAGUGAUCCGGUGGUUCUGUAUGGAAGGGCCAUCGCUCAACGGAUAAAAGGUA